rnacentral:rRNA from 1 species
UACGGGGGGAGCAAGCGUUGUUCGGAUUUACUGGGCGUAAAGGGCGCGUAGGCGGCGUAACAAGUCACUUGUGAAAUCUCCGGGCUUAACUCGGAGCGGUCAAGUGAUACUGUUGUGCUAGAGUGCGGAAGGGGCUACUGGAAUUCUCGGUGUAGCGGCGAAAUGCGUAGAUAUCGAGAGGAACACCUGCGGCGAAGGCGGGUAGCUGGGCCGACACUGACGCUGAAGCGCGAAAGCUAGGGGAGCGAACGGG